UACGAAGGUCCUAAGCGUUAUCCGGAUUCACUGGGUUUAAAGGGUGCGUAGGUGGGCAGGUAAGUCAGUGGUGAAAUCUCCGGGCUUAACUCGGAAACUGCCAUUGAUACUAUCUGUCUUGAAUACCGUGGAGGUCAGCGGAAUAUGUCAUGUAGCGGUGAAAUGCUUAGAUAUGACAUAGAACACCAAUUGCGAAGGCAGCUGGCUACACGAAUAUUGACACUGAUGCACGAAAGCGUGGGGAGCAAACAGG
rnacentral:rRNA from 1 species